rnacentral:rRNA from 1 species
AUUGAACGCUGGCGGCAGGCCUAACACAUGCAAGUCGAACGAGUGGCGGACGGGUGAGUAAUGUCUGGGAAACUGCCCGAUGGAGGGGGAUAACUACUGGAAACGGUAGCUAAUACCGCAUACCAUCGGAUGUGCCCAGAUGGGAUUAGCUAGUAGGUGGGGUAACGGCUCACCUAGGCGACGAUCCCUAGCUGGUCUGAGAGGAUGACCAGCCACAACGGGACUGAGACACGGUCCAGACUCCUACGGGGGGCAGGAGUGGGGAAUAUUUGACAAUGGGGGCAAGCCUGAUGCAGGCAAGCCGCGGGUGUGGAGAAGGCCUUCGGGUUGUAAAAGACUUUCAGGGGAGAGGCGUUACUCGCAGAAGAAGCACCGGCUAACUCCGUGCCAGCAGCCGCGGUAAUAC